rnacentral:lncRNA from 1 species
CUUUUGGUAUUCUACUAUUUAUCAAUCUUUAGAUCUUUCAGAAGUAGAAAUUGCUACACUAGCUGAUGCGAAAGCAUCAAUAAAAGUUAAUGCUCAAACUGUUUAUGAUGCUUAUAAACGGGCGUUAGAGCAUGCUAGGCCUAAUAUUCCAACCCCUACUUCGUCUACAUCACAAUCGUCUAAAAGAGCUGCUGGCUUAACAGCUCUUAAAUCGUGGAN